rnacentral:rRNA from 1 species
GGGUGAUCUGCCCUGCACUCUGGGAUAAGCCUGGGAAACUGGGUCUAAUACCGGAUAGGACCAUGCUUUAGUGUGUGUGGUGGAAAGUUUUUUCGGUGUAGGAUGAGCCCGCGGCCUAUCAGCUUGUUGGUGGGGUAAUGGCCUACCAAGGCGGCGACGGGUAGCCGGACUGAGAGGUUGGUCGGCCACAUUGGGACUGAGAUACGGCCCAG